AAGCAGUUAAGCAAAUUAAAUCACAACUCAGAAAUCACAACUGAAGGUAAUCAAUUCAUAUUACAAAUAUAUUCAUGGCUUUGAAUUAACCUCUAGCCAAAAUAAAUUUAGUUACACAUUUUUAUCAAAUUAAAUCAAAAGUAAAACAUAAGUUUGGAAAGAUUUAACCGAGAAGAAUGGAGUGAAGCCUCUGCUUUGUGCUCUGCGCAGUCCUCUUCGUUCCUCGCCAGUCUGCCCGUGCCUUCUCAUGCGCCAGUUUCUGUCAGUCUCCCUCUCCUCACUGGUCUCACACGCUGCCCAAAAGGCAGCCUUCUUUCCUCUCUCCCGCGCCCAACAGCCUCUCGGUUUCUCUCCUUCUCACUUCUCACUGUCCCCACGUCCUGACAUGCGCUUCCUGCGCUCCCCCCUUUCUGCGCAGUGCCAGUCUGCCCAUUUCCUGCACUCAAAGCAGCCUGCUCUCCUCUGCGUGCUGCAAGUCUUUUUCAAAGCUGCAAGGGCAGCUCCCCUCUUCUCUCUCCGCACGUCUCUCUAUUUUAUUCUUUCUGUUUUCUUUUCUUCACACGCUGUCUUUCUUUUUAUUCUUUUUUUUCGCACUACCUCAGUGCUCUCCCGUCUGUUUCCACCUCUCUCACCUACUCUUAUCUGCCCUCUCUGACCUCCUCUUUUCCUUGAUGUCAAUUAGCUUUUUUAUCCUGAAAAUCGAUGAGUCAAAGUAAGUCCCCAUUAUUUAAUUUUUCCAACUGAACUUGAAAGCAGGAAAGAUAACGGACAGGCCAUCCUCUUUAUUUUCUGCCAUUCACUUCCUUUGUUUUCUGUUUUUAGUCUCUUUAUUCCUCUGUCAGUGCACUUUCAUUAUUUUUCUAAUGGUCCACCCGUGUUUCACUUUUCUGUUUAUUAUUUAAAACUCAUUUGUGCUAUUUUUAUUUUCUUUGCAUAAAAGAUCCUAUAAACACAAAAAUAACGUAAAUAGCUCAAAAAUAUAAAGAACUAACCAAGAAAAGACGAGUGAAUUUGAAGUAAAAAUAUAUAUAAAUAUGAUCCGAU
rnacentral:lncRNA from 1 species